AUGGUACUCCCUCCUCCCAAAAUUUUUGUCUUAUAUUUGUCUAGAUGUGGAUGUAUCAAAUACUAAAUCGUGACUUCAUACAUCCGUAUUUGGACAAAUCUAAGAUAAGAAUUUUGGAACAGAGAGUAGGAU
rfam:Triticum aestivum genome assembly, contig: Triticum_aestivum_CS42_TGACv1_scaffold_033147_1BL